rnacentral:lncRNA from 1 species
UCAUUAUUUGGAACUUGCAUAUUUUCUUCAUUAAUUUUAGUUGUAUUGUUUUCACACACUGAAUCACGUUUUUUGUUUUUAGCCCCAAGCCUUUUAGCCAUCCUAUUUCAUUUGUAUAUCAUUUACUAAACCAUUUCGAGCCUUUUAUACCAUUUUUUGUUUUUAUUUCCACAAUAUAAACCAUUGGCCGUAACACUCUCCUACCCUCCUCGGAGUUAGAAGGUUAAUGUCUCAUAACUUU